UACGUAGGGUGCAAGCGUUGUCCGGAAUUAUUGGGCGUAAAGAGCUCGUAGGCGGUCUGUCGCGUCGGCUGUGAAAACCCGAGGCUCAACCUCGGGCCUGCAGUCGAUACGGGCAAACUAGAGUACUGCAGGGGAGACUGGAAUUCCUGGUGUAGCGGUGAAAUGCGCAGAUAUCAGGAGGAACACCGGUGGCGAAGGCGGGUCUCUGGGGCAGU
rnacentral:rRNA from 1 species